rnacentral:miRNA from 1 species
CAUGUCUUUUGCUCUGCAGUCA